UCAAAAACAUGUCCUAUUGUAUAAUAAUUUUAGGUUUGACCUGCCCCCUGAUUUAUUAAAUGGCCGCGGUAUUUUGACCGUGCUAAGGUAGCAUAAUCAUUAGUUUCUUAAUUAGAAGCUGGAAUGAAAGGUUGGAUGAAAAAAUUUCUGUCUCUAUUUAAAUUAAUUAUAAUUUUAUUUUUUAGUUAAAAAGCUAAAAUAAUUUUAAAAGACGAGAAGACCCUAUAGAGUUUUAUAUUUAAGUAUUUUAAUAUUUAUUGGUAUAUAAAUUUUUAAUUUAAUUAAAUAUUUGAUUGGGGUGAUUAAAAAAUUAAUUAAACUUUUUUUAUAAAUUUUACAUUAAUUAGUGAUUGGUUGAUCCAUUUUUUAUGAUUAUAAGAUUGAAUUACCUUAGGGAUAACAGCGUAAUAUUUUCAGAGAGUUCUUAUCGAAGAAAAAGUUUGCGACCUCGAUGUUGGAUUAAAAUUAAUUUUUGGCGUAGCAGUUAAAAAAUUAGGUCUGUUCGACCUUUAAAAUUUUACAUGAUCUGA
rnacentral:rRNA from 1 species